GAUGAAGAACGUAGCGAAAUGCGAUAAGUAAUGUGAAUUGCAGAAUUCAGUGAAUCAUCGAAUCUUUGAACGCACAUUGCGCCCGCCAGUAUUCUGGCGGGCAUGCCUGUUCGAGCGUCAUUUCAACCCUCAGGCCCCCAGUGCCUGGCGUUGGGGAUCGGCGCGGCGCCCUCCGGGGCGCUGCCGGCCCCGAAAUUCAGUGGCGGUCUCGCUGUAGCCCUCCUCCGCGUAGUAGCACAACCUCGCGGCCUGGAGCUCGGCGGUGGCCAUGCCGUAAAACACCCCACUUCUGAAAGUUGACCCCGGAUCAGGUAGGAAUACCCGCUGAACUUAAGCAUAUCAAUAAGCGGAGGA
rnacentral:misc_RNA from 1 species